UGUUUCUCUCUCAUCGAUGUUUCUAACUCUCUAUCCCUCUCUCUUCCUCUCUGUAAAAAAUCAAUAAAAUAUAUUUUAAAGGCGGAGGGCCUGGUUGGGACCACAGUCUGAUGACUACUUGUGAGGAUAAAUGUGUCCUUAACAAUAGACUCUUUUUUCCCAUAUGUUAGUCCUGCUAUCUGCAUGCCUGACACCCCCCCUUUCCUACCCCCCCUCCCCCCCCCCGGGCACCCACAGUGGAGGUACAUGUUGUAGCUGUCACGCCAGCACUCACCCCUGGCUCAGGCUCUGGGCAGCCUGGAAAUGGGGCCAGGGAAGGCGCUGCCUGGCCUCCCAGUGGGAGUGUGCAUUCAUGUGGGCAGGUGCAUUCAGGCGCCGACCCAGCCUGGCUGAGGGGCACUCAGACCUCCACCCACUGAUGAGUUUUGGGGGCUGAGCCAACCCCAAGGAAUACUGGCUGCCAGCAGGGCUGGGGGGUUUGCAGAGCAUGGCGCUGAGGGGGUGAGAGGGAGCGUUUAACAGCCUAGGUGUUCUUAGCAAAAGAAUUUCUGGCAGAGAGAUUGGUUAUCGUAAAGUGAGGGGCUCUGAUGGAUGAGAUUCGGGUCGGUGUGAUCGGCUGCGAGUCCAAGACGGCUUUCCGCUUCAGCGGGGCCUCUAGCUCCCACCUCCAUGGUGGGCUGGCCUGGGGCCGGACCCUGCAGGGCCCAGUCCCCUAAGCUGAGUGCUGGGCGUGCCAGCAUCCCCCUGCCCAGCCCCGCCCAGCUCUCUGUGCCAGGAUGUUGGCCCCUAACUAUUAUAUAAUAGAAGCGGACCUGGCUCUUCAGGCCCUGGGGCCAGACCCUCACAGCCAGCCCAGCCGCAGGCCUUAUGUGUGCCCAGCGGCUUCUCUGUCGGAGGGAUUCUCCAAGUUAUUCUGGGACCACUGCCCUCUGCCCGACCACCUCCUUCCCCAGUCAGGGUGGGAAUGGCUCAUAGUUUCCUUCCUAGGGCAAAUUCCCAAUAAGGGUGCUCACUCUGCAGUUGCCCGUGGAAAUCCUGAGGGCUUUUCAGCUGCCCCCCCCCCCCCCCUACACCCCCUGGCAGAAGGGGGCAGCUCCUUGCUCAUCUAUGGGCUCAGGGAAGGCCCGAGGAGCUGGGCUGGGGACUGGUGUGUUUGGUGAUGGGUUAACUCAGUUGUCAGAGCCAAGCCCACGUGGGUCAUCUUUACCCACUUAGUAUGGCAUGGGGAUGGGAGAGCCUCUGACCGUAACCCGCAACAGCCCUCCUGACCUCACCUCGUUACUGAGCACCUAGGCCAGACGCUGCCUAUCCCAUGGCCAUACGGAGGCCCAGAGCAGUGGUUCUCAAACUGGGGUGUCUCUGAGAACCCCUUGAGGAACCUGUUAGGCCUGCAGACUCCCUAGCCCCCAGCCAACCUCAGGGGCUCCAGAAUCGGCAUUGUUAUUAGGUGUGUGUGAUGCAGGGGAUCCCAGGACCGGGCUGCCUGCGGGCUGAUGGGUAAAGCGGUGUGAUGUGAUGAUGAGUGUGGGGGGAGGUGGAAGGGGCCCUGAAAAACAGCCGGAAGAGGUAAAUCUUGAAGAACAAAGCAGGGGAUGGUCAAGGUAGCUUACCCAACCAAAUGCUUCGUACCAGGCACGCUCUGAGCCUCGGAUGGGAACGAAGUCAUUGAAUCCUCCAGCAACCCCAUCGAUCUCAGAAAGGACCAGACGGAAGCCCAGAGGGGUGGCAGCUUGCCCAAGGUUCUGUGUCUGGGCCGUGGUGAGCCGGGCCUCACCCUCUUACUCCGUCCCACUGCAUUGGGGCCACGGCACCCGCUCCCGCAGAGGCUGUGCGGGCGGGGGCUGUGGAGGAGGGAAAAGCGUGAUGCGGUGAGGCUGCCGAAAGGCUCAGAUCCCAAUGCGUGGGCAGCUUGGGGUUUGCUGGUGGCAUCGAUGGCCGUGAUCUUGGUUAGGGCAGAAAACUUUGGGCCAGGUGACCGUUGCCAUAAUGCUGUGUUGAGAGGGCUGAGGCCGUGGCUGGGGCUCCCAGCGUGUUUCCUCGCCGUCUGAACACGACAGGGCCCGGGGAGCAGCCGGGGGGGGGAGAAUUCUCCGUGACCAGAGCCCUGCCCAGCCCUUGGGGUCUGAGGGGGGAGGGGAAAGAUGCUGGAGAGGGACUCCGCUCUCUUUAAGGAGACAUCUAAGAGCUUUGAAUGCUUCUUCCCUUUAAUUCUCACAGCCCUCCCUGCAACCUGGGCGUGUCUAUUCCUGCGUACAGGUGUGACGGCAGAGAGAAGGCUGAUCGGCAGAGAGUGGGGCCUCGGGUCCCGCCACACAGCUGGGCCCCAUGACCAGGCCCCCAGGGUACGGUGCCAGGCUGGGUGGGGAGGCGCCUGGGGGUCAGCUGGGCAGAUUCCAGCCCAACCUGGGCUCAGGGUAGAGUGGCCUGGCGUCCGGGGACAAGUUACCUGUCAGGAGACGGCAUUCCUCGUGGCGGCGCUCGGAGGAGUCAGCGACCUGGGGUCUGGGGACCGGCCUCCUGGUCGGGGUCCCCGAUGCUGGGGAUGGAGCUUCUGCUGCCCGAGCACCCAGGGGCAGCGGGGAGUGCGGCUCAGAGGAGGGACCUAGGUCAGGCGUGGAUUCCGGAAGCCCUUUCCGCCUCUCAGAAGCAGCCCAGCCCGUCACAGCCCCUCCCCCGUCUUGGCCUCUCUGACCAUCCCCUCUCCGUUCCCCAGUGUCUUCCAGCCCGCACUCCCGGCUCAUUGGCUUGAACCUGGAAACACACGGAAGAAGGCUUUGCCCAGCAUGGGCUGUUUUGGUGGAGGAGGGGGAGUGUCUGACUUUCCACUACAGCCCCCCGGGACGCUGGUGCCUUCUGCAGAGCGGAGCAGUUUGCAGCCUCCUGCCCCCACCGGGGACAGUGUUCAUGACGCUCAGCUUUGCAGGAACAGUGCCUUGGGAUGUGACAGAGCUGAGAUGCUCUCACUUCCUCUUAUGCUUUUCCUUUGAAACGGGAGAGACGGUCGUGGCCUCCUGGGCCCAUUUUACAGACAGGGUGACUGAGGCCACGGCUGCUGGAGGGAAGCUGAGCCAGGGCCUGUCCCUCUGAGAAUCUUGUGUCUUUAAGCUGUUGAUUUUAAGAGGGUAUAGGGAGGAGCGUCUGGCGUCUGGCUGGGGUCGGUCUUCGGGGCGCCUCCCAGGGUCCUCUCUCUGUCCUACCUGAGCCAGGCCUGGCCUCUGGGGACGUUCACGCGGGCUCUCCUCUGGCUGCGCGUCAGUGUCAGGCCCGGGACGUCACUGAGGAGGUGGGUCUCCGCCUGACACCCCUUCUCCCGGUCACACUGCGUUCUCGGGCUGCCCUUGUCCACUUGCGAUUCCGCCGAGACUCCAGUCCGCGGCCGCCUGUGGGCGGAAGGCACUGGGUUCUGGCUUGUCUGGGUGUGCCCUGGGGGCAGUGAGGCCAGCCCCUGGCCGGACCAAGCAUUGGGGAACAUGGUGCCACCGUGGAGACCCGCGGCCCCCUACCCGGCAGCGCGUCCCCCUAAGCGGUGGGGAGGUGGGGGGCCGGGGUCAAGGGAAGGGCCCCCAUCUUCACUCACCGGCCAGCCAGUCGACGGUGGACUCGCCUGGAGUAGCCACGGACAGCAAGAAAAAUAAGGGACUUUCAGGGGCAGCUGUGUUUUCUGACUCAAGUCAUAAUGCCCCUAAAAAUCCUUAUUGCUCUUGCAGUGGGCAUCGGGCAGUGGCUGGCAACCCCCCCCUCACCACGUGGCCCCUAGGGGAGGGAAAGGGCAUCCAGGGGACCCAUUGAGACCUGCUGGUUAUUAAAACGCGUUCGUUGGGCCGAUGCAUUGCCUUGCAUAUGUUUUUACCAUUUUCUUUUUCGGUGGAGGAUUGGGCAUCCAGCUAUUCCCGCUGGAUGAAGAGUCUCCUGGCUGUGUGUGGGUGAAGGUUCAGGAGGCCCAGCUGCACGUGCAGGGCACGAGGAAGGGCGGCCGUGGGGCCAGGUAGGACGAGGGCCACGGAGCUGGGCUGGCCGGCUGCCCACUUUCCUGAGAAGCUGGAACCGUUGAGGGGCCCUGGGCAGGCACUUGCACUGUGUUUUAACACAGAGGAGAGCCCCAGUCCACUCUCUGAGACCCGGUGAGCUGGCCAGUUUGCAAACUCGCUUGCAGUGGGUUCAAGGCUCCCUCCCCCUCCCCGCUAAGGUGACCCUGGAGCUUGCCGGGUAUUUUCUAUCCCCAUUUCACUUCCUGAAUCUCCUCCAUUCUCAGUAGGUGCCCCCAACCCCACCUUUCCUCUCCCCACCCGACAGAUAGUUUGGUUAAGCAGCCAGAAUAUCAACUUGUGACAUGGGUCCCCCCCUCCGCCCACACCUCUUAACCCAGGAACACCAGUCCACAAGCAUGUCACCAAUCCGUCCUGACAGCUGUGGCUGGGUGGGUGUAGUCCCAUGCACCCAAAAGUCCCUGGUUCGAUUCCCGCUGAGGCCACAUACCUAGGGUGCAGAUUCAGUUCCUGGUCUGGAUGCAUGCCGGAAGCAGCUAAUUGAUGUUCCUCUGAAAUCAAUGAAAACAUUUUGUUUUAAGCCACCAAAUCCCACAGCAACAGAAGCUUCCUGUCUAGCUGCGGCUGAGCACUGGCCUGCCCGCGGAUGGGCAGACGAGGCAGGGAACAGGCAGCAAGCCCCAUCUCGUGUCCCGUUGACUGUCCAGGUCUGCAGGGAGAUUCACCCCCCAGGUAUUGCUCAGGUUCCCUCCCAGGUGCCGACUCGAAAGCUCUCAUCACUCAAGAAGACCACAUGUGGAACCUUGACGGCCAUCAUACUCAUUCCCGGCCAGCCAGGCCCCUUGCUGCCCAGGCCCAGGUCGGUCGUCUGAGCCUGCCUCCACACCGGCUCUGCCAGACAGUCUCUAAGGGGCUGGAGUUGCACCGGAUCUUCCUCUUUUUACUGCCCAGGGGGAGAGGCAGCGCUAAGGUAACUAUCCAGGGGCUGAGGGAGCAGCGUGUAUCCCUCCCUGGUAAGCGGCAGGUGGAGCUUUCGUGGAAUGAGAUUCUCGAAGAUUACAAUGGACACAGGGUAAUACACCGCGUCCCAUCCUCAUCAGCUAAGCAUCUGCUAACUUCAAAUUAAUUGUCCCUGUGGCCCCUUUGACCUGCCAUCUCCCCCAAAACUCCUUGUUCCUGAGUGUGCUCCUCAGUCUUUACCCCAAAACGACACAUCAAUUUUUGAAAAGGCAAUACAUCAAAAAUAAAUACUGUUCUCCCCCUACCCACACACACACACCUCUCCCGUUACAAAAGAACUGCCUUGCAUGGUAGAACAUUUCAAAAAUGCUGAAGGAUGGAAAAGGCUCAUAAAUGCCCAUAGCUGGGAUAAUGUCUGCUAAUGAAGUACAGCGUUUUCCCCGUUAGCAGGACUGGGGCUUUUAAAACGGGCGAGGCUCGCCACCCAUUUGAGCGAUGGCUCUGUGCCCUUGGGAGCCAGAAAGUCUCCUUUCUCUUUGCCAAUCAGGCUGGAGGACCAUGGGCUGAAGCAUGCCUCCAGCCAGGGAGCUCAGGGAGCUCAGAGGCCUGGUUGGAGGGCGUUGGAGCAGCGCUGGGUCUCUCCAGAUGGAUGACGGGGUUGGGGAAGAUGCUAGAAAUGUGGGCUGUUGCAUUGCUUCUCCACCUUAGUCACCCAAGACUCACGGAGAGUCUUCACACACACACACACACACUCCACGGCCCAGGCCCCACCCCCCACCACUUGGCUCUGAAUUGUCGGGGCAGCUGGAGUUGGUAUCUGUGUCUGCUUUCCGGAUGGUCCUCAGCUGAUCCCGUGAAGCAGCCAGAGCACCAUCCGCUCUCUGCCCACCAUUCAGAGGCAGGAGAAGGCUCCUCCAGCUGUGCCCCCAGAGGCGGGUCAGGCGAUGUGGCCAUUUGCGGUGGGCAGACCUUCACUUCCUGUCUUUUCUCAGCUGCUCAGAGUCAGCCUUUGAUCCUGGUUUCACAGAAGGAAGACUGAGGCCAAGGGGAUCAGGAGACUUACCCGAGGACACACGGCCAGGAUGUGGCAGAGGUGGGGGUGAGGUCUGCGGCUGCUGACUCCCGAGAGCCCUGAGACGUCACAGAAAAGCAGCCUUGGACCUCGAAUGAGUUCCAGACCUGUCCCUGACGACCUGGCCAUGCAGAGGUGCCUGGAGGAAUAGUGGAUGCCAUGCCCUGGGUAUGUGGGGAGAGGUGCUGGCCAGCAUCGACGGCCCUUCUGACAAUGCCUGUCUUCUUCAGAGGAUCUCCCCUCCCCCGCCGAGUACCCUUGGGGUUCAGAUGAGGCCAGUCCUACCCUCCAGGCUUGAGAGGCAGGCAUGUGUCCCAGGAUGGAUGCUGAGACUCCCCCUUGGGACUUUUGCAGCAAUGCAUGAGGAAAGAGGCACUCCGUUUUUGUGGGAGUUGCCAAGUGGACAGAAGUUGCCAAGCUUGGAACGGCUGGUGGCCAUCCUGUGCUCUGCUUGAGGAUACAGCCAACGAGGAGGAAAGAGAAGGCGAGUGUGCUCUAUCCAUACAUCAGGAAGCCUCUGGAUCAAGCCAUGCCUGAAGCCAGCUGCACCCCUGGACUAACCUGAUUACAUGAGCCAAUGCUGUUUUUCCCCCCAACACUAUCUGGAGGUGGGUUGCUAUCAUAGAAAGGGUCCUAAGAAAGGCGAUGCUUUUCUUUGAUGUCAUUUUUAGGAAGUCAACAUUGAGGUAUACUUUACAUGCAAUAGAUUUCACCCAUGUUAAGUGUCCCAUUCAUAAGUAGUGACACUCUUGUAACUAUCAACCAGCAUUCAAGUUCCCUCCUUCCCCUUCACUUACAGGUAAGGCCAGAGAACCACUGACCUACCUAUAUUCUAAUGGUUCGCUUUUGCCUUUUCUAGAAUUCCAUAUAAAUGUCAUGUAGGGUAUUCUCUCUUGUGUCUGGCUUCUUUUAGUCAACAGGGUUUGGAGAUGUAUUCAUGUUGUUGCACAUGUCAGUAGUUCAUUCCUUUUUGUUGCCAAGUAGUGUUCUGUUGGAUGGAUGUACCACAAUUUGCUUAUCCAUUUAUGGGAUGGUGACCAUUUGGACUACUUCCAGAUUUUGGCUAUUAUGAAUAAAACUGUUACAACAGUCACGU